GUGGGGAAUAUUGGGCAAUGGGCGCAAGCCUGACCCAGCAACGCCGCGUGAAGGAAGAAGGCUUUCGGGUUGUAAACUUCUUUUGUCAGGGACGAAGCAAGUGACGGUACCUGACGAAUAAGCCACGGCUAACUACGUGCCAGCAGCCGCGGUAAUACGUAGGUGGCGAGCGUUAUCCGGAUUUACUGGGUGUAAAGGGCGUGUAGGCGGGCUUGCAAGUCAGAUGUGAAAUUCCAGGGCUUAACCUUGGAACUGCAUUUGAAACUGUAGGUCUUGAGUGCUGGAGAGGCAAUCGGAAUUCCGUGUGUAGCGGUGAAAUGCGUAGAUAUACGGAGGAACACCAGUGGCGAAGGCGGAUUGCUGGACAGUAACUGACGCUGAGGCGCGAAAGCGUGGGGAGCAAACAGG
rnacentral:rRNA from 1 species